UAGAUGUUUGAAUGGUGUAGUGAGGAUGAAGGUUUUCUAUUUUUAGAGCAGAAAGUCACAUUUUCCUUUUCCUGACAACUUUAUCAUGAAGAUCCUCAAGGUUUCUAAGGAAGAGCUCGGGACAAGCCAGAAACUGCUGUUAAUCAGAGUCAGCAAUGGAGAAAGAUGCAAAAGACAACAAACACCUGACCUGAAAAGCUUUGCAGUCUUCACUGAAGUGGCAUGUGCCAUACGUUUAUAUUCUACUCUAAAAGAAGGAAGAAAUUAUUUCCUCUGCAUUCUUGUCCUUGGCAAAUCUCUCCCAAUGUUAUGUCUUUUAUCUACGUACAAGCUGCAUGUCUCUCUUCCUGCCUUUGUUUUUUUAGUUAGUUAAUACACACAAACACACACACACACACCAAAGUGCUUCUUUAACAGACUGCUCAAGGGAAACAAAACUAACAGAAGACUGUAACUGGAAGUGCCGUGAUAUUUAAGAAGUUAAUCUACAGCUCAAUUACAACAUUUUGUCUUUAAUUGGUAUUAUGUCACAAUUUUACAUGAAGCAUUAGAAUAAUAGAAGAUUAGACCUCACCCUUUGCCUCUCCCAAAAGCCAGCAAGAGGUUAGACACACGAACAUUCAGAGGACUGACAACCAACAAGUAUAUUCAUGUAGAUGAUCAGAUGAUUUGAGACUUGGAGUACAGCCUAAACCCAUUAUAUUUAAUCAUUUUCACAUAACUCUUCCUUACCUGAUGAACCAUUAAAGACUGCACUUGA